rnacentral:rRNA from 1 species
UACGGGAGGCAGCAGUGGGGAAUAUUGCACAAUGGGCGAAAGCCUGAUGCAGCUAUGCCGCGUGUAUGAAGAAGGCCUUAGGGUUGUAAAGUACUUUCAUCGGGGAGGAAAAAACAAAACUAAUAAUUUUAUUUCUUGACGUUACCCGAAAAAGAAGCACCGGCUAACUCCGUGCCAGCAGCCGCGGUAAUACGGAGGGUGCUAGCGUUAAUCAGAAUUACUGGGCGUAAAGAGCACGUAGGUGGUUUUUUAAGUCAGAUGUGAAAUCCCUGGGCUUAACCUAGGAACUGCAUUUUGAAACUGAAAUACUAGAGUAUCGUAGAGGGAGGUAGAAUUCUAGGUGUAGCGGUGAAAUGCGUAGAUAUCUGGAGGAAUACCUGUGGCGAAAGCGGCCUCCUAAACGAAUACUGACACUGAGGUGCGAAAGCGUGGGGAGCAAACGAGGGAUUAGAUACCCGU